rnacentral:rRNA from 1 species
GAUGAACGCUGGCGGCGUGCCUAAUACAUGCGAGUCGAGCGAACGGACGAGAAGCUUGCUUCUCUGAUGUUAGCGGCGGACGGGUGAGUAACACGUGGAUAACCUACCUAUAAGACUGGGAUAACUUCGGGAAACCGGAGCUAAUACCGGUUAAUAUUUUGAACCGCAUGGUUCAAAAGUGAAAGACGGUCUUGCUGUCCCUUAUAGAUGGAUCCGCGCUGCAUUAGCUAGUUGGUAAGGUAACGGCUUACCAAGGCAACGAUGCAUAGCCGACCUGAGAGGGUGAUCGGCCACACUGGAACUGAGACACGGUCCAGACUCCUACGGGAGGCAGCAGUAGGGAAUCUUCCGCAAUGGGCGAAAGCCUGACGGAGCAACGCCGCGUGAGUGAUGAAGGUCUUCGGAUCGUAAAACUCUGUUAUUAGGGAAGAACAUAUGUGUAAGUAACUGUGCACAUCUUGACGGUACCUAAUCAGAAAGCCACGGCUAACUACGUG